rnacentral:rRNA from 1 species
CAUGAGAUGGCUAGGCCGGGAAGAGACUUUUUUGUGUGCUAAGAGAAUGGAAAUACAGAAAAAUUCUUUCUUGAAUUCAAAAAUUGAAGUUAUUUUUAUAUGUGAAGAAACAAUAAUGAAAAUUAUUGACAAGAAGACCCUAAGAAUUUUUUUAAUUUAAUUAAAAAAUUUUUUAAUUAAAUUCUUUAAUUGGGGCGAUUAAUAAAAAUUAAAAACUUUGUUUUUUUAAAAAAGAACCAAUAAUAUUGGAAAUAUGAUAAAAAUACUCUAGGGAUAACAGCGUAAUAACUUUAGAUAGUUCAUAUAGACAAAGUAGUUUGCGACCUCGAUGUUGGAUUAGGAUACUUUUUUAAUGAAGAAGUUAAAAAAAGAAGUUUGUUCAACUUUUAAUUUCCUACUUGAUCUGAGGUCAGACAGGACGAC